AGUAGGGUCAGCUAAACAAGCUAUCGGGC
rnacentral:tRNA from 2 species